rnacentral:lncRNA from 1 species
AUGAAUAAGGAUCCAUAAAGCCGACUCUAAGUAGUUGGGGAAAAGGCUUGAUGAUUUUAAUGAUUAUGACAUCUGGAUGUCUGCAAUAAUCAAUGCUACAAAAAUUUAGAACCUAUAAAAAUUUGUUAGCAGACCUCUACAAGUAUACAUUUGACAAGCGUGGAUCUUAGGAUUGGUCUUAGAAUAAUAGAAAUUCUAGGUGUCAAUAUGUCAUGUGUGUGCAUUGAUCUUUUCUUUUCUUUUCUUUUUCCCCAGCAUUUUGCAAACCUGAACAAUAGUCAGGAGAGGUGGGACUUGUCUUAUAUUAUUUUAUUGAAGGCACUCUAACCUUUAAAGACUUAGCACCAAUAGAUAAAUAUGGCGAGGUUUAAAAAAAAGUAAGAAAGAAAUACCAAAUUCCUGCUAAUAAACCAUACUGGUACAUAUCCUUUUUUAUUAUAAUAUAUUAAAUGACCAUAAACCAGCCACUAUUUCUUGAAAUUCCAAUUACACGAUGUUUCCAGACAACAAACUCGCAUUGAAGGACUAAUUUUCAGAGUCUCCGAGAGAUCCACAACUAUUCUUGUUGCAUGGACUAGAUUAUCAGGCAUGCUACCUAAAAUUUAAUGCUACCAAUGUCCUUAUCCAUAAAAAUCACUACCUUAGAACUAAGAAAAGAUGUAUCGUUAACAAAUCUAGAAACCAAAACCAUAAUCUUAGCUUUUCAUUCCCCAUUCAAAUAAAACUAACAGUGACAGUAAUAAAAUGAGAAGGAAGCUGAGCUCGAAUCCUAAACCCUAGCACUAACCUUUGAAUGAAAAGAGCGAAUUGCAAUAGACCAAACUCCGUCAGCAGCCUACACCCACCAUUCCUUAUCGCUGUCAUCGUCACCGCCGCUGUCGCCGCCGAAGCCGAAGGCGAGGACGAGGUCGGAUGAACUCGACCCAACACAUAUGUUAAGGCGAUAUGACAAGGACUUAUGGAUAAAGUCGAGAAAGUUAAGGGAGUUUUCUAGUGGGAAUAAGUAACUCCCACUCCAGCAGUUUGGUUUUGGGGGCAGUCCCAUUCCCAUUUCCAUUUCAGAGGGGAAUGAAAAUGUUCCAGUCCCUUAAAAAGGAAAAUCCAAUCCUCCCAAAAUCAAUCCUAGCUCUCCUCCCAGUAUUCAAAUCCCAUUUCAUUUACUUAAAAAAAAUUAUUUUUCAAAAAUAUCCCUUUAUUUAAUCAAUUAUCCAAAAAUUUGAUUU